UACGAAGGGGGCUAGCGUUGUUCGGAAUUACUGGGCGUAAAGCGCACGUAGGCGGACCAUUAAGUCAGGGGUGAAAUCCCGGAGCUCAACUCCGGAACUGCCUUUGAUACUGGUGGUCUAGAGACCGAGAGAGGUAAGUGGAACUCCUAGUGUAGAGGUGGAAUUCGUAGAUAUUAGGAAGAACACCAGUGGCGAAGGCGGCUUACUGGCUCGGAACUGACGCUGAGGUGCGAAAGCGUGGGGAGCAAACAGG
rnacentral:rRNA from 2 species